rnacentral:rRNA from 1 species
UACGAAGGGUGCAAGCGUUACUCGGAAUUACUGGGCGUAAAGGGCGCGUAGGUGGCGCUCCAAGUCCGUGGUGAAAGCUCGAUGCUCAACAUCGAGUCGGCCACGGAGACUGGAGGGCUCGAGCACUGUAGGGGCAGAUGGAAUUCCGGGUGUAGCGGUGGAAUGCGUAGAGAUCCGGAAGAACACCGGUGGCGAAGGCGGUCUGCUGGGCAGUUGCUGACACUGAGGCGCGACAGCGUGGGGAGCAAACAGG